UACAGAGGUCUCAAGCGUUGUUCGGAUUCAUUGGGCGUAAAGGGUGCGUAGGCUGGCGCGUAAGUCGGGUGUGAAAUUUCGGAGCUUAACUCGAAACUGCAUUCGAUACUGCCGUGCUUGAGGACUGGAGAGGAGACUGGAAUUUACGGUGUAGCAGUGAAAUGCGUAGAUAUCGUAAGGAAGACCAGUGGCGAAGGCGGGUCUCUGGACAGUUCCUGACGCUGAGGCACGAAGGCCAGGGGGAGCAAACGGG
rnacentral:rRNA from 1 species